AAGCCUUGCAUCUCGGACAGGGAAGCUGCUGACAUUGUUCGGCUGUGGGACAGACUGCCGGACAGUGACAGACAGGGUUUUUCCUACCCACCAAGACUCAAGGAGAGACUUUUGCAAGGCAGGUUCAAGGCCACCCACUCCAAAACCUCCACCUGCCAUGGAAAUGAGAGCCUGAAGUGAUGUGUGCUGGGGCAGGGCUCCUGCGCAGUGGCCUAAUAUUAGUAGAAUUGUAUUGGCAGUAUGUCUGGAGCUCAUCCAGUGAGGAAGGUGAAGUGGGGCGUUUCAAUGAACCACUGGGCUGCUGUACUACAUGACUACAAGGCCAUAUGGAGACUGGUGGGGAACUGCCCAGCACUGAGGGGACAGACAUGAAUUCAACUGUUUGAGGUACAACAACUACAGGAAGAAGCUGGAGGCAGAUGUGCUGGCUCUGAGUGUGCCCUUGCCUCAGAUCAGCAUGGUAUCUCACACCCAGCUUCCUGUAGCCAG
ensembl:lncRNA